AAACCCACGCAGGUGAUGGGGAGAAAGUUCAAACUCCCCAACUCUACCUCUGUGCCGCCCUUUCUGUAGCUUGUCUCGGACAAUACAGACCAGAUGUAGACUGACCAAGCAUCCCUGUCUUAGAAGCCAAAACAUAUGAACCACUUGUGCAAGUCUGCUCUGUGUGUGUGCAAGGAACCUUUUUACUUGUUGAGCAUUGUAUAUCUUUGUGUCUGCAUCUGUGGUAAGGAAUGAUUCUUGUAAUGGCUAAUAAGUUAUGGUGCACAUCUCUGUAUCCUCCCCUUUCUUAUUCCUACCGUAACAAUGUCUGUUGCAGUCUCAUUGUAUAACACAAUUAUUUCUAAUUUUAACAAUGUAUUAAUUGACGAAGUUCGGGGGAAUCCCUUACAGAAAAAUGACAGUUAAGAAAAAGUGCAACAGUGAUGGCUCUCUGAUUUAAGAGUCAGCCUACCUACCUCAGGUUGAGACCAAUGUUAGCUGAGGUGACCAACACUUCCAUUCUGCCACUUAUUAUAUUUUAACAUGAUGUUAUAUAAAAGUUAUGGUAUCUAGCGUGAUAGGCAUGUUAAUCGUGUGUUCUGCAAUACAUUGUUCUGCCUCCUACAUUGAGUUAAAGUUAUCCGUUCAAGGUUUCAGAGGCUAAUACCUGCUGCUGGGACUUGUUUGCAGAUUAAUAGUCAUUUGUACUUUGGCACAAAGAAACCAAGAGGUAUUCUCAUUUUAUAUUUUUGUAAUAUGCUAUUUGUCUCUAAUCUGAUGUGAUUAGCUGCUAUUUUAUGACUGGUGCCAUCAGGUGCAAGCAUGCUAUACACGUCCAAGUUUAGCACUUUGACCAAUGCAUGCGAGAUAUAUAAAUAUAUUUAACGUCUAUCCUGAUAAAAAUAUUUUUUCUUCAGA